rnacentral:rRNA from 1 species
GACGAACGCUGGCGGCGUGCUUAACACAUGCAAGUCGAACGGAAAGGCCCUGCUUUUGUGGGGUGCUCGAGUGGCGAACGGGUGAGUAACACGUGAGUAACCUGCCCUUGACUUUGGGAUAACUUCAGGAAACUGGGGCUAAUACCGGAUAGGAGCUCCUGCUGCAUGGUGGGGGUUGGAAAGUUUCGGCGGUUGGGGAUGGACUCGCGGCUUAUCAGCUUGUUGGUGGGGUAGUGGCUUACCAAGGCUUUGACGGGUAGCCGGCCUGAGAGGGUGACCGGCCACAAUGGGACUGAGAUACGGCGCAGACUCCUACGGGAGGCAGCAGUGGGGAAUAUUGCACAAUGAGCGGAAGCCUGAUGCAGCAACGCCGCGUGCGGGAUGACGGCCUUCGGGGUGGAAACCGCUUUCGCCUGUGACGAAGCGUGAGUGACGGUAAUGGGUAAAGAAGCACCGGCUAACUACGUG